rnacentral:rRNA from 1 species
AGAGUUUGAUCCUGGCUCAGAUUGAACGCUGGCGGCGUGCUUAACACAUGCAAGUCGAGCGGCAGCGCGGGAGCAAUCCUGGCGGCGAGCGGCGAACGGGUGAGUAAUGCUUCGGAAUCUGCCCAGUAGUGGGGAAUAACCAGUCGAAAGACUGGCUAAUACCGCAUACGACCUACGGGAGAAAGCAGGGGAUCGCAAGACCUUGCGCUAUUGGAUGAGCCGAAGUCGGAUUAGCUAGUUGGUGAGGUAACGGCUCACCAAGGCGACGAUCCGUAGCUGGUCUGAGAGGACGACCAGCCACACUGGGACUGAGACACGGCCCAGACUCCUACGGGAGGCAGCAGUGGGGAAUAUUGGACAAUGGGGGCAACCCUGAUCCAGCGACGCCGCGUGUGUGAAGAAGGCCUGCGGGUUGUAAAGCACUUUUAGUGGGGAGGAAAACCCCUGACCUAACACGUCAGGAAUUGACUUAACCCAAAGAAAAAGCACCGGCUAACUCUGUGCCAGCAGCCGCGGUAAUACAGAGGGUGCAAGCGUUAAUCGGAAUUACUGGGCGUAAAGCGUGCGUAGACGGUUAUCUAAGUCGGAUGUGAAAUCCCCGGGCUCAACCUGGGAAUUGCAUUCGAGACUGAAUAGCUAGGGUGCGGAAGAGGGAAGCGGAAUUUCCGGUGUAGCGGUGAAAUGCGUAGAUAUCGGAAGGAACAUCAGUGGCGAAAGCGGCUUCCUGGUCCAGCACCGACGUUCAGGCACGAAAGCGUGGGGAGCAAACAGGAUUAGAUACCCUGGUAGUCCACGCCAUAAACGAUGUCAACUGGUUGUUGGGAAUUUACUUUCUCAGUAACGAAGCUAACGC